AUUGAACGCUGGCGGCAUGCUUUACACAUGCAAGUCGAACGGCAGCGCGGGCUUCGGCCUGGCGGCGAGUGGCGAACGGGUGAGUAAUGCAUCGGAACGUGCCCAGUAGUGGGGGAUAGCCCGGCGAAAGCCGGAUUAAUACCGCAUACGACCUGAGGGUGAAAGCGGGGGACCGAAAGGCCUCGCGCUAUUGGAGCGGCCGAUGUCGGAUUAGCUAGUUGGUGGGGUAAAGGCUUACCAAGGCGACGAUCCGUAGCUGGUCUGAGAGGACGACCAGCCACACUGGGACUGAGACACGGCCCAGACUCCUACGGGAGGCAGCAGUGGGGAAUUUUGGACAAUGGGGGCAACCCUGAUCCAGCCAUGCCGCGUGCGGGAAGAAGGCCUUCGGGUUGUAAACCGCUUUUGUUCGGGAAGAAAUCCUCUGGGCUAAUACCCCGUGGGGAUGACGGUACCGGAAGAAUAAGCACCGGCUAACUACGUG
rnacentral:rRNA from 1 species